UCCCCGUUACCGAGGCAGUCUGUUUAGAAAUAUCCAACUAAACACGAGGGUUGCGCUCGUUGAAGGACUUAACCUAACAUCUCACGACACGAGCUGACGACGGCCAUGCAUCACCUGUCACUGGUCCAACUAAAUGACUUUCUAAUUUCUUAGAAAUACGACCAGGAUGUCAAGUCUGGGUAAGGUUCUUCGCGUAUCCUCGAAUUAAACCACACGCUCCACCGCUUGUGCGGGUCCCCGUCAAUUCCUUUGAGUUUUAGCCUUGCGGCCGUACUCCCCAGGCGGGAUGCUUAACGCGUUAGCUUUGCUACUCAGGCGGGUCGAAUCGCUCGAACAGCUAGCAUCCAUCGUUUACGGCGUGGACUAC
rnacentral:misc_RNA from 1 species